GAUCCUGGCUCAGGAUGAACGCUAGCGGCAGGCUUAACACAUGCAAGUCGAGGGGCAGCGGGAUGUAGCAAUACAUUGCCGGCGACCGGCGGAUGGGUGCGUAACGCGUAUGCAACCUACCUUAUACAGGGGAAUAACCUUUCGAAAGGGAGACUAACACCCCAUAGUAUUGAUUUAAGGCAUCUUAGAUUAAUUAAAUAUUUAUAGGUAUAAGAUGGGCAUGCGUAUGAUUAGCUAGUUGGUAAGGUAACGGCUUACCAAGGCGACGAUCAUUAGGGGUUCUGAGAGGAAGGUCCCCCACACUGGUACUGAGACACGGACCAGACUCCUACGGGAGGCAGCAGUGAGGAAUAUUGGUCAAUGGGCGCAAGCCUGAACCAGCCAUGCCGCGUGCAGGAAGACGGCCUUAUGGGUUGUAAACUGCUUUUACAUAAGACUAACCGUAUAUUUGCGAAUAUACCUGAAUGUAUUAUGAGAAUAAGGAUCGGCUAACUCCGUGCCAGCCGCCGC
rnacentral:rRNA from 1 species